GAUGAACGCUGGCGGCGUGCUUAACACAUGCAAGUCGAACGAAGCUAUUAAAAGGAAGUUUUCGGAUGGAAUUUUAAUAGACUUAGUGGCGGACGGGUGAGUAACGCGUGGAUAACCUGCCUUAUACAGGGGGAUAACGGAGAGAAAUUUCCGCUAAGACCGCAUAAGACCACAGCACCGCAUGGUGCAGGGGUAAAAUAUUUAUAGGUAUAAGAUGGAUCCGCGUCCGAUUAGCUAGUUGGUGAGGUAGAGGCUCACCAAGGCGACGAUCGGUAGCCGGCCUGAGAGGGUGAACGGCCACAUUGGGACUGAGACACGGCCCAAACUCCUACGGGAGGCAGCAGUGGGGAAUAUUGGACAAUGGGGGGAACCCUGAUCCAGCGACGCCGCGUGAGUGAAGAAGUAUUUCGGUAUGUAAAGCUCUAUCAGCAGGGAAGAAAAUGACGGUACCUGACUAAGAAGCCCCGGCUAACUACGUGCCAGCAGCCGCGGUAAUACGUAGGGGGCAAGCGUUAUCCGGAUUUACUGGGUGUAAAGGGAGCGCAGACGGCGAUGCAAGUCUGAAGUGAAAAGCGUGGGCUCAACCCAUGAACUGCUUUGGAAACUGUAUAGCUUGAGUGUCGGAGGGGUAAGCGGAAUUCCUAGUGUAGCGGUGAAAUGCGUAGAUAUUAGGAGGAACACCGGAGGCGAAGGCGGCUUACUGGACGACAACUGACGUUGAGGCUCGAAGGCGUGGGGAGCAAACAGG
rnacentral:rRNA from 1 species